AGAGUUUGAUCAUGGCUCAGAACGAACGCUGGCGGCAUGCCUAACACAUGCAAGUCGAACGCCAUCCUCUGGAUGGAGUGGCGCACGGGUGAGUAACGCGUGGGAACCUGCCUUUUUCUGCGGGACAACGAUUGGAAACGAUCGCUAAUACCGCAUACGCCCUACGGGGGAAAGGUCCGCCGGAGAGAGAGGGGCCCGCGUUUGAUUAGCUAGUUGGUGGGGUAAUGGCUCACCAAGGCGACGAUCAAUAGCUGGUCUGAGAGGAUGAUCAGCCACACUGGGACUGAGACACGGCCCAGACUCCUACGGGAGGCAGCAGUGGGGAAUAUUGGACAAUGGGGGCAACCCUGAUCCAGCAAUGCCGCGUGUGUGAUGAAGGCCUUAGGGUUGUAAAGCACUUUCACUGGCGAAGAUGAUGACGGUAACCAGAGAAGAAGCCCCGGCUAACUUCGUGCCAGCAGCCGCGGUAAUACGAAGGGGGCGAGCGUUGUUCGGAAUUACUGGGCGUAAAGGGCGUGUA
rnacentral:rRNA from 1 species